rnacentral:rRNA from 1 species
ACUGAUGGCGACCGGCGCACGGGUGAGUAACACGUAUCCAACCUGCCCUUUACUCGGGGAUAGCCUUUCGAAAGAAAGAUUAAUACCCGAUAGCAUAAUGAUUCCGCAUGGUUUCAUUAUUAAAGGAUUCCGGUAAAGGAUGGGGAUGCGUUCCAUUAGGUUGUUGGUGGGGUAACGGCCCACCAAGCCUUCGAUGGAUAGGGGUUCUGAGAGGAAGGUCCCCCACAUUGGAACUGAGACACGGUCCAA